GAUAGCGAAAGAGCUUGCUCUUUCAAUCUAGUGGCAGACGGGUGAGUAACGCGUGGGUAAUCUACCUUCGAGUGGGGUAUACCUGGCCGAAAGGCCAGUUAAUUCCGCAUAAUAUAAACGUCCCCUUGGUGAUGUUUAUCAAAGAACGGGAUCUUCGGACCGGCCGCUUGAAGAGGAGCUCGCGUUAGAUUAGUUAGUUGGUGGGGUAAUGGCCUACCAAGACUGCGAUCUAUAGCCGGCCUGAGAGGGUGAUC
rnacentral:rRNA from 1 species